UACGGGGGGUGCAAGCGUUGUUCGGAUUGAUUGGGCGUAAAGCGCUCGUAGGCGGGUUCACAAGUCGGAUGUGAAAGCCCCGGGCUCAACCUGGGAACCGCGCUUGAGACUGGAGAACUAGAGUUCGGGAGAGGAUGGUGGAAUUCCCAGUGUAGAGGUGAAAUUCGUAGAUAUUGGGAAGAACACCGAUGGCGAAGGCAGCCAUCUGGACCGACACUGACGCUGAGGCGCGAAAGCGUGGGGAGCAAACAGG
rnacentral:rRNA from 1 species